GAUGAACGCUAGCUACAGGCUUAACACAUGCAAGUCGAGGGGUAACGAGAGGAAAGCUUGCUUUCCUUGUCGACGACCGGCGCACGGGUGAGAAACGCGUAUCCAACCUGCCCCCAACUAGGGAAUAACCUUGCGAAAGUAAGACUAAUACCCUAUAAUUUCCUCAGAUGACAUCUGACGAGGAAUAAAGAUUUAUCGGUUGUGGAUGGGGAUGCGUCUGAUUAGCUUGUUGGCGGGGUAACGGCCCACCAAGGCAACGAUCAGUAGGGGUUCUGAGAGGAAGGUCCCCCACAUUGGAACUGAGACACGGUCCAAACUCCUACGGGAGGCAGCAGUGAGGAAUAUUGGUCAAUGGGCGGAAGCCUGAACCAGCCAAGUAGCGUGCAGGAUGACGGCCCUAUGGGUUGUAAACUGCUUUUAUACAGGAAUAAAGUUAGCCACGUGUGGUUAUUUGUAGGUACUGUAUGAAUAAGGACCGGCUAAUUCCGUGCCAGCAGCCGCCGCUG
rnacentral:rRNA from 1 species